ACCCGCUGAACUUAAGCAUAUCAAUAAGCGGAGGAAAAGAAACCAACAGGGAUUGCCUUAGUAACGGCGAGUGAAGCGGCAACAGCUCAAAUUUGAAAUCUGGCCUCUUUGGGGUCCGAGUUGUAAUUUGCAGAGGGCGCUUUGGCGUUGGCAGCGGUCCAAGUUCCUUGGAACAGGACGUCACAGAGGGUGAGAAUCCCGUACGUGGUCGCUAGCCUUCGCCGUGUAAAGCCCCUUCGACGAGUCGAGUUGUUUGGGAAUGCAGCUCUAAAUGGGAGGUAAAUUUCUUCUAAAGCUAAAUACUGGCCAGAGACCGAUAGCGCACAAGUAGAGUGAUCGAAAGAUGAAAAGCACUUUGGAAAGAGAGUCAAACAGCACGUGAAAUUGUUGAAAGGGAAGCGCUUGCAGCCAGACUUGCCUGUAGUUGCUCAUCCGGGCUUUUGCCCGGUGCACUCUUCUGCGGGCAGGCCAGCAUCAGUUUGGGCGGUUGGAUAAAGGUCUCUGUCAUGUACCUCUCUUCGGGGAGGCCUUAUAGGGGAGACGACAUGCAACCAGCCUGGACUGAGGUCCGCGCAUUCGUGCUAGGAUGCUGGCGUAAUGGCUGU
rnacentral:rRNA from 1 species